rnacentral:lncRNA from 1 species
AGCACACGUGAAUGACCUAAAGAUCUUAUACGAAUGCAGAUUUUGAUUCUGGAGGUCUUGGAUGGGCCCGACAGUCUGCAUUUCUAAUAAGCUCCCAGAAAAAUAUCCAACCCGAGCAGGAUAAAACUGAUCAUCCUGAGGAUAUUGCCCUUGGAGUUAAUUUUUUGAGAGAAAUAAAACAAUAAACAUCAUAAGACACAAACCCCAAGCAACUGAUCUCACUGUUAAAAUCCAACCUGAGAACAAUGGAAUGGAUUGCGCUCUCUAGAAGAAAAUUCUGAGAAAAAAAUUCAUAUGCAAGAAAUUUACUGGGGAGUGCUCUCAGACUCUGAACUGUGAAGAAAAAGGAUUGGACAGGUAGGUUUACUUUGUACGUUUCUUUUUUCUUUCUUUUUUUGAGAUGGAAUCUCGCUCUGUUCCCAACUCGCUCUGUUCCCAGGCU